rnacentral:rRNA from 1 species
GAUGAACGCUAGCUACAGGCUUAACACAUGCAGGUCGAGGGGAAACGGCAUUAAGUGCUUGCACUUUUUGGACGUCGACCGGCGCACGGGUGAGUAACGCGUAUCCAACCUUCCCAUGACUAAGGGAUAACCUGCCGAAAGGCAGACUAAUACCUUAUGGUCUUCACUGACGGCAUCAGAUGUGAAGUAAAGAUUUAUCGGUUAUGGAUGGGGAUGCGUCUGAUUAGCUUGUUGGCGGGGUAACGGCCCACCAAGGCAACGAUCAGUAGGGGUUCUGAGAGGAAGGUCCCCCACAUUGGAACUGAGACACGGUCCAAACUCCUACGGGAGGCAGCAGUGAGGAAUAUUGGUCAAUGGGCGAGAGCCUGAACCAGCCAAGUAGCGUGCAGGAUGACGGCCCUAUGGGUUGUAAACUGCUUUUGUAUGGGGAGAAAGUCAAUCACGUGUGAUUGUUUGCAGGUACCAUACGAAUAAGGACCGGCUAAUUCCGUG